AGCAGGCAGGCCUUGGGCAGAAGCAAGAGAAGCAGAGUUCCCCAAAGACACAGAGCAGAGUCCCUCAGACCAUCUGCCAGGAGAGGGGCGUAGCCUGAUGAUCGGCAGCCUCAGGAUCCUUACUGCAGCUUUUAUUCCUGAAAACACAGGGGGAAGCAACAAGACCUUCCUUUCUAUUCCUCGGGCUUUGGCUCUGCUUUCUGCUAGAUCACAUAUAGGAGACAGGGUUGUCUAUGUAACUGUCUCACAGCUGGAAAGUUUCCACUGCUAUGACUCAGCGACCCGAAUCCACAGUAAACAUCCCAUUCUGCUUCUGAAGCACAUCCAGCUAUCAGGGCUGAGUUCAGAAAACAGGGCAGAUUCUGACCUUCAAACCAAAUGUCCUUGAACUGCCCUCCGCUGGGGGGGGCACUCAAGGCUCCAGCAGCUGGGACAGCAGUGCCUACACUAAAGUGACCAAGGACAAUUCCGUCUGCAAGAGGACAUCUGGACGCGUUUGGUGUCGCAGCCAGAGGCUUGAGGAGGAGGAGGAGAACUACAGCCCGGGCUGAAGCUUUUCUUUUUCUCAAGACACCUAGCUUCCCCAGCAAAUGCUACUCUGUACAAAACUGGAAUCUUAAGAGUAUUCUGUAUUUUUCAUGCUUCUUUGACUUGAAGUACAAUGGUGCUCUCCUCA